UACAGAGGGCUCAAGCGUUGUUCGGAUUCAUUGGGCGUAAAGGGUGCGUAGGCGGUUGGGUAAGUCGGGUGUGAAAACUCCAGGCUCAACUUGGAGACGCCACCCGAUACUGCUCUGACUUGAGUUCGGUAGGGGAGUGGGGAAUUCCUGGUGUAGCGGUGAAAUGCGCAGAUAUCAGGAGGAACACUGGUGGCGAAGGCGCCACUCUGGGCCGAAACUGACGCUGAGGAGCGAAAGCGUGGGGAGCGAACAGG
rnacentral:rRNA from 1 species